CAGUGAUCACUUUAACGGCCGCGGUACCCUGACCGUGCAAAGGUAGCAUAAUCAUUUGCCUUUUAAUUGGAGGCUAGUAUGAAUGGUCCGACGAGAGUAAAACUGUCUCAUAUAUAUUUGAUAGAAAUUAACCUAAAGGUGCAAAGGCCUUUAUAUCCUAAAAAGACGAGAAGACCCUGUUGAGCUUUAAUCUUAAUGAACAUUUCUUUUAUAUUUAUAAAUUUAUUUUGCUCACUAAAGAUUUUAAUUGGGGCGAUUAAGGAACAAUCACCAGCUUCCUGACUAUAAAUUAAACCGAUCCAGCAAUGCUGAUCAACAGAACGAGCUACCACAGGGAUAACAGCAUAAUUCUUCUUGAGAGCCCAUAUCGAAAGAAGAGAUUGUGACCUCGAUGUUGGACUAGGGUAACUAGAAGGUGCAGCCGCUUUCUUGUUUGGUCUGUUCGACCAGUAAUUCCCU
rnacentral:rRNA from 1 species